AUGAGCUGGAUGAUCAUUCUACUGCUGGGAACACCCUUCACACUGAGGAGAACCGGAGCUCAGUCUGUGACCCAGCCUGACGGCCACACCACUGUCUCUGAAGGAGCUGCCCUGGAGCUGAGGUGCAGCUAUACCUACAGUGGAACACCUUAUCUCUUUUGGUACGUCCAAUACCCUGGCCAAAGCCUUCAGUUUCUCCUCAAGUACAUGUCAGGGGCACCCUUGGUUAAAGGCCCCAAAGGCUUUGAGGCUGAAUUUAAGAAGAGUGAAACCUCCUUCCACCUGCGGAAGCUGUCAGCCCAGUGGAGUGACACAGCCCAGUACUUCUGUGCUCUGAGCGACACACUUCUGUAUAGCAGAGGAGUAAUCUGGGGAAUGGGAGAACCUACUUCAAAAUCCUUUAUCUGA